UGAGGAAUCUUCCGCAAUGGGCGAAAGCCUGACGGGGCAAUGCCGCGUGGAGGAUGAAGGCCCAAUGGGUCGUAAACUUCUUUAGAUCAGAGACGAAGAGAUGACGGUACCUGAAGAACUAAGCAUCGGCUAAACCCCGUGCCAGCAGCCGCGGUAAGACGGGGGAUGCGAGCGUUAUCCGGAAUGAUUGGGCGUAAAGGGUCCGCAGGUGGCCCGGUCAGUCCGCUGUCAAAACCUGGGGCUCAACCCUGGAGAGGCGGCGGAGACCACCGGGCUUGAGUCCGGUAGGGGCAGAGGGAAUUCCCGGUGGAGCGGUGAAAUGCGUAGAGAUCGGGAAGAACGCCAAGGGCGAAGGCACUCUGCUAGGCCUGAUUUCGCGACUGACACUCAGGGACGAGAGCCAGGGGAGCGAAUGGGAUUAGAUACCCCAGUAGUCCUGGCCGUAAACGAUGGAUACCAAGCCCUGCGCGUAUCGACCCGGGCAGGGCUGUAGCUAACGCAUGAAGUAUCCCGCCUGGGGAGUACGCUCGCAAGAGUGAAACUCAAAGGAAUUGACGGGAGCCCGCACAAGCGGUGGAGCAUGUGGUUUAAUUCGAUGC
rnacentral:rRNA from 1 species